rnacentral:rRNA from 1 species
CCCUUAGAUGUUCUGGGCUGCACGCGCGCUACACUGACGCACGCAACAGGUGCCUGCUCCGAGAGGACUGGGUAAUCAUUUGAGUGUGCGUCGUGAUGGGGAUAGAAUAUUGUAAUUAUUACUCUUCAACGAGGAAUUCCUAGUAAGCGCCAGUCAGCAGCUUGCGCUGAUUACGUCCCUGCCCUUUGUACACACCGCCCGUCGCUCCUACCGAUGGGUGAUCCGGUGAAUGAUUCGGACUUCAGCGGCUCCCCUGGGGUGCGCCGGAGAAAGUUUUGCGAACCUUAUCACUUGGAGGAAGGAGAAGUCGUAACA